rnacentral:rRNA from 1 species
GAUGAACGCUGGCGGCGUGCCUAAUACAUGCAAGUCGAGCGAACAGACCAGGAUUUUGUUCCUCUGACGUUAGCGGCGGACGGGUGAGUAACACGUGGAUCACCUAUCUAUAAGACUCGGAUAACGUCUGGAAACCGGAGCCAAUACCGGAUAAUAUAUUGAACCGCAUGGUUCAAUAGUGAAAGACGGAUUUGCUGUUACUUGUAGAUGGAUCCGCGCCGCACUAGCUAGUUGGUAAGGUAACGGCUUACCAAGGCAACGAUGCGUAGCCGACCUGAGAGGGUGAUCGGCCACAGCGGAACUGAGACAGGGUCCCGACCCCUACGGGUAGCAGCAGUAGGAGAGCGGACGAUAUGAGCGAAAGCCGAACGGUGAUGCAGCGCGGGAGUGAGGGGGGUCUUCGGAUCCGGAAAGUCUACUACUUGGGAAGGAGAGAUAGGUAAGUGGCUGUAAGCGUGUUGACGGUACCGGAAGAAGAAGCCACGGCUAACUACGUG